rnacentral:rRNA from 1 species
ACAGAGGGUGCAAGCGUUGUUCGGAAUCACUGGGCGUAAAGGGCGUGUAGGUGGCUAAUUAAGUCAGGUGUGAAAUCCUUCCGCUUAACGGGAGAAGUGCACUUGAAACUGCAUAGCUAGAGUACGGUAGAGGAAGGUGGAAUUCCUGGUGUAGAGGUGAAAUUCAUAGAUAUCGGGAAGAACACCGGUGGCGAAGGCGACCUGCUGGCCCGAAACUGACGCUGAGACGCGAAAGCGUGGGGAGCAAACAG